AGAAUCAACGCUGGCGGCGUGCCUAACACAUGCAAGUCGAACGAGAAAGUGGAGUAAUCCAUGAGUAAAGUGGCGCACGGGUGAGUAACACGUGACUAACCUACCUUUUAGUGGGGGAUAACCUAGGGAAACCUGGGCUAAUACCGCAUAAUACCUACGGGUCAAAGCAGCAAUGCGCUGAAAGAGGGGGUCGCGGCCGAUUAGCUAGUUGGCGGGGUAAUGGCCCACCAAGGCAGUGAUCGGUAUCCGGC
rnacentral:rRNA from 1 species